rnacentral:rRNA from 1 species
GACGAACGCUGGCGGCGUGCCUAAUACAUGCAAGUAGAACGCUGAAGAGAAGAGCUUGCUCUUCUUGGAUGAGUUGCGAACGGGUGAGUAACGCGUAGGUAACCUGCCUGGUAGCGGGGGAUAACUAUUGGAAACGAUAGCUAAUACCGCAUAAAAUUGAUUAUUGCAUGAUAAUUAAUUGAAAGAUGCAAUUGCAUCACUACCAGAUGGACCUGCGUUGUAUUAGCUAGUUGGUGAGGUAACGGCUCACCAAGGCGACGAUACAUAGCCGACCUGAGAGGGUGAUCGGCCACACUGGGACUGAGACACGGCCCAGACUCCUACGGGAGGCAGCAGUAGGGAAUCUUCGGCAAUGGGGGGAACCCUGACCGAGCAACGCCGCGUGAGUGAAGAAGGUUUUCGGAUCGUAAAGCUCUGUUGUAAGAGAAGAACGGGUGUGAGAGUGGAAAGUUCACA